GGCGGUGUAGCUCAGUCGGUUAGAGCAGCGGAAUCAUAAUCCGCGUGUCGGGGGUUCGAAUCCCUCCACCGCUAC
rnacentral:tRNA from 8 species